AGCGGCUAUGUCACUUUGAAAAACUAGUUCCUGUAUAAUCACCGAAGUUAAGCAAUGUGGAGCCUGGUCAGUACCUAGAUGAAUGACGGUUUGGGAAUACCACGUGCUGUAAG